UCUAUGUUACUUUAAUCAUUCUCAUUUAUCAUUUAUCAUUUAUCAAUUCUAAUUUAAUUCCUCUCAACAUAUUUAUUCAUUAUUAAUCUUAUUAUUUUCUGAGUGCUUUAGUGAUCACAAUUUAAAUGAAAAGUGGUUAGUGAAUUAAGACUCUCCAUACAUUCUUAUAUUUAAAGAGGGUGAGUCUCGGCGCAAAGCUGCAAUAUAUCUACCAUCCCCGA
rnacentral:lncRNA from 1 species